UCACGGCGGCGACCUGAGCUAUAGCGACUCUAUCCGUCUACGUGUCUGAGCACUGCAAAUGCAUUAGGCUUGCAUUUGUGGGAGAAUAACGCAAGGAACGAAAGGUCAGGUGCGUGUAGGUCGCUGGGCCAAAGCCGCCUGAGUAGCUGUGGCUUGGUAUGGAUGAUAAAGCAACUGAAUCAAUUUGCCACCGGUGUUGAGGCGAGGGCGACCUGACCGCGAAAUACACGGCCCGAGGGCACGCCCCGUAUCAACACCCCUCGCGACCUCCAAACACGUGCACUGAACCGCGAAGCCCUCCCCCAAGCCUAUCGCGGCUGCUAUUCCCAUGUCCUCCUCCCCAACCAUUCUGCAUACAGGCUCUGGCGUGAGUCCCUGCCCGCGUCAUUUGACACCCGUCGACCACGACUGAGGUGCAACGCAUGUCGCUUACAAAUCCAACAUCCCGCCCGACACGAGAGGGGCAGAAACGGCGGGGCAGACGGCCAGCCUCUUGAACAUGAGCAUAGCAGUGCAAUAUCGCACAUUGGGUCCCCGCCUGCUUCACCUGGCCACCUUUGCUGAUUUGUCUGACAUCCCUGUCUACACACUUUUAUCCGCCCACGCUUGAGACGUCCUCCUCAGCGCGCAGGCUUCACGGUACCAACCGUGCGGUAUCAUCGCUACAUGAUGAGUGCACUGCCCCAACCAUUGAAGCAUCACAAGGUGCUUGCCUGCCGCCGCCGCCGCUGAUACGUACACGAUUGCUGCCACACAACCAACACAUCACACCCAACAAUCACAACAACAAAACAACUGAGACCCGCCGCCGUGCAACGCACACUGUACACGCCCCAGGGCCGAGAACACAACGCAACACAAGCACCUGACAUGCCUCAUCCAGGCAUGCGUCACUCAAUCGCCCACCGAGCCGACCUCGCACACGCCGUUCGUGAGCCCCUGCGGCUGACAUGCCCGGCCCUGCCCCCUUGGCACCGCAGCCCUGCCGCCUUGGCACCGCCGCCCAUUGCCCCACCCCCAUGCUGCGUGCCAUGUAAGAAUAAAGCCAGGUCCCCAUCAAGCCGCAGCAUAUAUCCCCGCCAAGCCACCAGACUCCUCUUGCCGCACGCUACCAACCACCACCAGCACAGGACCGGCACCUGCCUGUCCCCCUGUUUAGUUUGGGCUGAUAUUUACAACCCCCCACCCUCCCCUCCCCACCUUCCCCAUUGCCAACCUCGCCCACCGCGCCGACAUGCACGCCGGCACCUCGCUCGUGCCUCUCGAGGCCUCCCAUCUUCCGUAGCUAGAGAUCCCUGUCCACGAGUAUCCACUUGGGCUCCAGCCCACUCCUGAUGCACACGCCGGCAUUACCCAGGUCUGCAUGGUUUGCAUGCCUGCCUGUCUACCGUGCACGCACACCUGCCUAGCUACGCAGACCUACUACCGUCCUUUUUGACCCGCCUCCGCCGCCACCGCCGCCGUCUCCUCCCUCUGGCCGCCGUGCCGGCCGCGCCAGCAGCUGCUGUUGUGGGUUGCCGCCAGAGCCGCCGCCGCCCUUGUUGCUGUUGGUGGUGGUGGUUGCGGGCUGGUGUGGCGCGGCCGUAGUGACAGCCGCAGCGCCGCCCACGGCACCCGCUGUCACUGUUUCCACCGCCACCGCCGGCUGCUGCAGCCGGCGCAGCAGGUAGGCCUCCUGCUCGGAAGGAGUCAGGAAGUCCCAUUCCCAGUACGGCACUAGUAGGACGCCGCCCUCCUUAAACGCCCGCCGCAGCUGCCGAAUGCGAAUGGCCGUACCCCCUUCCACAGCAGCGCUGGGGUCUUGCUGCUGCGUUUGUGUCAAGAGGUAACGUUUCGGUCCGAGGAACUCCACCGCCGCCUGCUGCCCGUCACUCAGCCGCACCACCGCAUCCACUGGCGCCAACACUCCUGGCGCGACAACGCCCGUCUGAAGGGACUGAACGGCUAGGCCCCCUGCUGCCUUGAGGCCCUGCUGCUCAAGCCGCCGCAGCGCUGCAACGACCUGCUUUUGAGUAUCUGAUGUGGGCUUGGCGUCUUCCCUCUCAGUAGUCACCGCCGCUGCCAUCGCCGCCUGCAGUCCGCUGCCGCUGCCCAGGGCCGCCGCCACCUCGCCGCCUAGCUCCUGCUGCGCCUGCCACAGCUGUUUGAGAUGCUCAGUUGUAAGACCCUCCCAACGGCUUACUGCUUCACGGGCCAGCUGAAUGGAUAGCUGCUUCAUGUCGGGAGAAUACGUGCCUCCGAACACAGCCAUGGCCCACAGGCUGUUGCAUACGUGCUGGUGCAGGACUGUGUCAGAGUCAUGCUGCAGCAGCUCGCCCAGCCGACCGCACACCGCCGCCUCCAAGCCAGCGUGCCGCAGCUGCAGCACCGCCAGCGCGUACAGCGUAUUGGCACAGUUCUGACCACCGGCACUACUGGCGCGCAUGGCUGCUACUGCUGCGCCCGAGUCAAGCAGCUCCGCCGGCGGCUGGUGGCGCAUCAACGCAAGCGCGUACAGCAGAUUGGACCAGGCCUGAGAUGUUGCGCGGGCCAUGGCGCCCGACUGCGUUGCUGCGUCCACCGCUGCUGAAACCCACUGCCGCUGCUCGGCCGGCGCCUCCGGGCCCGCCCCAAAUCCCAUCUUGGCUAGGGCCCACGCUGAGUUGCUGAGGUCCUGAGCGAUGUACCCGUCAAACCCCCGCCGCACGUCCUCUGCGGCCACUGCCACCACCAGCUCUGCCUGCUCGCUGCAUAGCUGCAGCCCCUCCAGCGCCAGCAGGAUGUUGGAUAGCUGUUGCGGGAUAAAUGCUGCAGCGAGCUCCGGUUUCCGGAGCCGCUGCAGUGCCUCCCCGCACAGCGCCUCAACUGCUGACCGGUACUCUGGUCCUGUGCACCCCAGAGCUUUGAGAGCCCAUAGGCUGUUUGAAACAUCUUGCGGCUUGAAGCCGUGGCCCGCCACCGUUCUCAAGCGAGAAGCCACAGCUGCCGCCAAGGUCUGCAAGUGUGGCGAUGAGGUGGGGUCCCAGCCUGAGCCCCGCUGCUGCUGGUCUUGCUUGAGCUUGCCGAGCGCGUACAUGACAAUUGCGAGGUUCUGAGGUUCCGCCUUCCCAAGAACCUCAGGAUCCACUAGCCGCUCCAGCAGAGCUGCUGCAAGCUGAGCCUCCGUGCCGCCGCCGACCAAUCCAGCUUUGCCCAGCGCCCACAGCGGAAUGCUGCAGUUCUUUGCGUUGCGGAUGCGCGGCACGAGCGGCAGGUAGGCCGGCGCAAGCAUGCCGAUAAUGCUGCUGCGUGCUACAGCCGUUUGGCUUGCUCCAGCGCGCGACUCCAGCUGCGUUCAAAGCAGUUAUGAGGGACAUACAUGGGGUCAAGUGCUAUAUGCAUGUGUUUGUGCGUGUGCGUGAACAGGUGCGCAUGCAAGUCCUGUGUGGCCAUCUGCGUCGUGAGAACCGGAAGUCCGGGCCGAGAACGACAACAAUGGACUCGCCCUCCAUUCUGCACUUCAUUUCUGUGCCCAUUCCCACCUGCACGUAUUAGUCCUCCCUCUCACCUUGCCGCACAGGUUGAACGCCGCACACAUGGUAAUGAAGUCUUUUCGGCCCUCCCACACUGAUAGCCGCUGGCUGAUGAUUGCUUGCAGCUCCUCCAGAGUCCGACACACGGUCAUGUCAUCCGCGGGGUCACGCCCGCUGCCCCUGCUUCUGCCGCUGGCGCGGCUGCCAUCGCCUGCCCUGCCUCCGCCGCUUCCCCUACCCNNNNNNNNNNNNNNNNNNNNNNNNNNNNNNNNNNNNNNNNNNNNNNNNNNNNNNNNNNNNNNNNNNNNNNNNNNNNNNNNNNNNNNNNNNNNNNNNNNNNGAGAAUAACGCAAGGAACGAAAGGUCAGGUGCGUGUAGGUCGCUGGGCCAAAGCCGCCUGAGUAGCUGUGGCUUGGUAUGGAUGAUAAAGCAACUGAAUCAAUUUGCCACCGGUGUUGAGGCGAGGGCGACC
rnacentral:lncRNA from 1 species